GGAACCUCGAUUGGAUUAACUCACUUAGUUGAUCAGAAUUGUUGGGAUAUCCUUUUCAAUGUACAUGUAAAUAGAGAAGAAAACCUGGAAGUAGAGAUAUUUGCUCGUUUUCUACAAGAGUUUUAUGAUAAAAUGGACCUGCUUUUCU
rnacentral:rRNA from 1 species